UUCCGGUUGAUCCUGCCGGAGGUUACUGCUAUCGGUGUUCGCCUAAGCCAUGCGAGUCAUAUGUAGCAAUACAUGGCGUACUGCUCAGUAACACGUGGAUAACCUGCCCUUGGGACCGGCAUAACCCCGGGAAACUGGGGAUAAUUCCGGAUAGCGCAUAUUUGCUGGAAUGCUUUAUGCGUCAAAAGGAUUCGUCUGCCCAAGGAUGGGUCUGCGGCCUAUCAGGUAGUAGUGGGUGUAAUGUACCUACUAGCCAGCGACGGGUACGGGUUGUGAGAGCAAGAGCCCGGAGAUGGAUUCUGAGACAUGAAUCCAGGCCCUACGGGGCGCAGCAGGCGCGAAAACUUUACAAUGCGGGAAACCGUGAUAAGGGGACACCGAGUGCCAGCAUCAUAUGCUGGCUGUCCGGAUGUGUAAAAUACAUCCGUUAGCAAGGGCCGGGCAAGACCGGUGCCAGCCGCCGCGGUAACACCGGCGGCCCGAGUGGUGAUCGUGAUUAUUGGGUCUAAAGGGUCCGUAGCCGGUUUGGUCAGUCCUCCGGGAAAUCUGAUAGCUCAACUAUUAGGCUUUCGGGGGAUACUGCCAGACUUGGAACCGGGAGAGGUAAGAGGUACUACGGGGGUAGGAGUGAAAUCUUGUAAUCCCUGUGGGACCACCUGUGGCGAAGGCGUCUUACCAGAACGGGUUCGACGGUGAGGGACGAAAGCUGGGGGCACGAACCGGAUUAGGUACCCGGGUAGUCCCAGCCGUAAACGAUGCUCGCUAGGUGUCAGGCAUGGCGCGACCGUGUCUGGUGCCGCAGGGAAGCCGUGAAGCGAGCCACCUGGGAAGUACGGCCGCAAGGCUGAAACUUAAAGGAAUUGGCGGGGGAGCACAACAACGGGUGGAGCCUGCGGUUUAAUUGGAUUCAACGCCGGG
rnacentral:rRNA from 1 species